AUGAACGCUGGCGGCGUGCCUAAUACCUGCAAGUCGAGCGAACAGACGAGGAGCUUGCUCCUCUGACGUUAGCCGCGGACGGGUGAGUAACACGUGGAUAACCUACCUAUAAAACUGGGAUAACUUCGGGAAACCGGAGCUAAUACCGGAUAAUAUAUUGAACCGCAUGGUUCAAUAGGGAAAGACGGUUUUGCUGUCACUUAUAGAUGGAUCCGCGCCGCAUUAGCUAGUUGGUAAGGUAACGGCUUACCAAGGCAACGAUGCGUAGCCGACCUGAGAGGGUGAUCGGCCACACUGGAACUGAGACACGGUCCAGACUCCUACGGGAGGCAGCAGUAGGGAAUCUUCCGCAAUGGGCGAAAGCUUGACGGAGCAACGCCGCGUGAGUGAUGAAGGUCUUCGGAUCGUAAAACUCUGUUAUUAGGGAAGAACAAAUGUGUAAGUAACUAUGCACGUCUUGACGGUACCUAAUCAGAAAGCCACGGCUAACUACGUG
rnacentral:rRNA from 1 species